GUCGAACGGUGAAGAGGGAGCUUGCUUCCUUGGAUCAGUGGCGAACGGGUGAGUAACACGUGAGUAACCUGCCCCGAACUCCGGGAUAACGCUGGGAAACUGGUGCUAAUACUGGAUAUGAGAUGCACCUGCAUGGGUGUGUUUGGAAAGAAUUUUGGUUCGGGAUGGACUCGCGGCCUAUCAGCUUGUUGGUGGGGUAAUGGCCUACCAAGGCGACGACGGGUAGCCGGCCUGAGAGGGUGACCGGCCACACUGGGACUGAGACACGGCCCAGACUCCUACGGGAGGCAGCAGUGGGGAAUAUUGCACAAUGGGCGAAAGCCUGAUGCAGCGACGCCGCGUGAGGGAUGACGGCCUUCGGGUUGUAAACCUCUUUCAGUAGGGAAGAAGCGAAAGUGACGGUACCUGCAGAAGAAGCGCCGGCUAACUACGUGCCAGCAGCCGCGGUAAUACGUAGGGCGCAAGCGUUGUCCGGAAUUAUUGGGCGUAAAGAGCUCGUAGGCGGUUUGUCGCGUCUGCUGUGAAAACGCGAGGCUCAACCUCGCGCCUGCAGUGGGUACGGGCAGACUAGAGUGUGGUAGGGGAGACUGGAAUUCCUGGUGUAGCGGUGGAAUGCGCAGAUAUCAGGAGGAACACCGAUGGCGAAGGCAGGUCUCUGGGCCACUACUGACGCUGAGGAGCGAAAGCAUGGGUAGCGAACAGGAUUAGAUACCCUGGUAGUCCAUGCCGUAAACGUUGGGAACUAGGUGUGGGGUCAGUUCCACUGAUUCUGUGCCGCAGCUAACGCAUUAAGUUCCCCGCCUGGGGAGUACGGCCGCAAGGCUAAAACUCAAAGGAAUUGACGGGGGCCCGCACAAGCGGCGGAGCAUGCGGAUUAAUUCGAUGCAACGCGAAGAACCUUACCAAGGCUUGACAUACACGAGAACGUGUUUAGAGAUAACGCACUCUUUGGACACUCGUGUACAGGUGGUGCAUGGGUUGUCGUCAGCUCGUGUCGUGAGAUGUUGGGUUAAGUCCCGCAACGAGCGCAACCCUCGUCCUAUGUUUGCCAGCACGUAAUGGUGGGGACUCCAUAGNAGACUGCCGGGGUCAACUCGGAGGAAGGUGGGGAUGACGUCAAAUCAUCAUGCCCCUUAUGUCUUGGGCUUCACGCAUGCUACAAUGGCCGGUACAAAGGGCUGCGAUACCGCGAGGUGGAGCGAAUCCCAGAAAGCCGGUCUCAGUUCGGAUUGGGGUCUGCAACUCGACCCCAUGAAGUCGGAGUCGCUAGUAAUCGCAGAUCAGCAACGCUGCG
rnacentral:rRNA from 2 species